rnacentral:rRNA from 1 species
UGCCAGCCGCCGCGGUAAUACGGAGGGGGCUAGCGUUGUUCGGAAUUACUGGGCGUAAAGCGCGCGUAGGCGGUUUAGCAAGUUGGUGGUGAAAGCCCAGGGCUCAACUCUGGAACUGCCUUCAAAACUGCUAGACUCGAGUCCGGGAGAGGUGAGUGGAAUUCCCAGUGUAGAGGUGAAAUUCGUAGAUAUUGGGAAGAACACCAGUGGCGAAGGCGGCUCACUGGCCCGGUACUGACGCUGAGGUGCGAAAGCGUGGGGAGCAAACAGGAUUAGAUA